AUCGUCCAGAUACGGCCCAGAGCGUGGAGACACCGUAUGGCCACUGAGUCCCUGAAUCCCGUCAGCGGUGAGGUGCAUGAAGCCGAGACGCUGAACGGGGACGACCAAUGAUGUUCAGCUGCUAGAGCUGGCUGCUGCUGCGGGCGAGGUGCAGGCUAACGCAGGCUUAACGGACAGAGGCGGCUCACAUGGCUUGUGGGUAAGAGUUAACACAGAGUGAUUGUCAGUCUGUUGGCUUACGCCUUUGGUAACUCAACCAGCGAGCCAGGUCGCUGUUGAGUACCAUAUAGGCUAGGCGAGGCCCAUGCGGCUCAUCCGCCGGGGAUGGCGAACCACACGGUGACACCUCAGCACACACGGCAUGCCGGACCGGGGGUCCUAGGAGGUUGCGCCGAACCACGUACGCGUUGGCACCCGACAGCUGUCAUGCGCUACAACCGAACCGGUAAUCCUCCGCCACCGGGCACACAGUUCCCCCCCACGACUGUAGGAGACGAGGAGAAGAGUCUGCGAAGUCGUAACCCCCAAGCACGGUGGCGACAAGUGCGUGCCCCCCCUGAAUGCAAACAGGGGAACCAAAAGCAAGAGACAGCACACAUAUCAUGCGGAAUGACAUGCGAGAGUGUUCGUGCCACGCGACAGACACAAACUGUAACCAAACUAGCAUAGCACACGCGUCACUAGUCAGGUCAGUCCUCCACGCUAGCCACUGCGAGCUAGCUCCAAGCGGAUGGCUGAUGAGAACACGCUGUGAAGCGAGCAGCGGCACGCUGCUUGCAACUGCAAUCCAGCAAUGACACCCGAGAUACAGGGUAUCGGGCACACGAGCGGCGGUGCAUGCCCCGCCCUGCAGGCGCCAGUCGGGCCAUGCCGCAGCGGCCACCAAGUCGGCCCCCCAGGAUGCGCACUGGGGUCGUCCUGCUAAGGCUCUGGCUAGCGCGAUGCGAGCUCCACGUGGGUGGUGGUGCGCCGGGGCACAGAGUAGAGGAAGCCGAUGGGGACGAGGUACGCUGAGGCUUAAGGCUGGCUGACCCGGGGUGAAACAACCGAGAAGAGAAGUAGCAGGUGACUGUCCAGGAAGACGAAGAAGUUGCUGUUGGCGGCGAUAAGCGCGGCCAGUAGCAGUGUCGGCGGUACUGCUGGGUGCAGUGGCGCUGGCGGCGCUGUGAGGGAAGCAGCGCGGCUAGGCGGGAUGGGAGAAGUCGGAGCAACUGCUGACGCGGGGCUGCGACGCGUGCCGAAGUCGGCCAUGCAGGAACCGAGUGACACGGCCGCUCCCGAAGGCCAAAUUGCUGAUAUAUGAAAGAGCCUGAAAUGCGUGUCCGUUACAGGAGUCCAGAAGAGCGGAAGGCGAGGAGCGAAUGCAUCCAAUUUCCGAUUGACGGCUGGGCGUCAGGCGCGCAGAGCGCCGGCAAAUAGAGCUACGUUGGGAUGCCGUAGUGUAUAACGUGCUGAGAGGCAACUGAGACCCAGAUGUAACGCGGCGGAAAGACAUCGCCGGUCA
rnacentral:lncRNA from 1 species